GACGAACGCUGGCGGCGUGCUUAACACAUGCAAGUCGAACGGAAAGGCCCUGCUUUUGUGGGGUGCUCGAGUGGCGAACGGGUGAGUAACACGUGAGUAACCUGCCCUUGACUUUGGGAUAACUUCAGGAAACUGGGGCUAAUACCGGAUAGGAGCUCCUGCUGCAUGGUGGGGGUUGGAAAGUUUCGGCGGUUGGGGAUGGACUGGCGGCUUUUCAGCUUGUUGGGGGGGUAGUGGCUUACCAAGGCUUUGACGGGUAGCCGGCCUGAGGGGGUGACCGGCCACAUGGGGACUGAGAGGCGGCCGAGGCGCGUACGGGAGGAAGAAGUGGGGAAUAUUGCACAAGGGGCGGAGGGCGGAUGCAGCAGCGCCGCGUGCGGGAUGACGCUUUUGGGGGUGAAAACCGCUUGCCCCGGUGGUGAGGGGUGAGACGGGGUAUGGAGAAAAGACGCAGCGGAAAUACAUG
rnacentral:rRNA from 1 species